AGCACAAAGCCAGGGCACAGAUUUGCCCACAAAUUCUCCUACACGCACUCCCCAGGCUGGAAGGCACAGCCCAUCGCAGAGCUGAUGGACCUUGAGAAAAGUGGGAUCUGGUCUUGUUUGGGGGACCAGAGAAACUAUUCUCUCAGCACCAGGAGCAAAACGCGCGGACUUGGGAAAAAACAAAACCCCACUUAGAGUACUACGGCUCCACUCCCCGUGACAUUCGCCUGGUUCGCCCCCCAAAAACCGGACACCGGGGUGGAAAGGGGCGGACGCGAACGCAAACCCAGACCCAGGACCUACAACAGAUAAAAGGGUCGAAAAACACUCCGUCAGAGUUCUUUCCGGGGUGGGUUAGGUUGAACGAGAGACUGGUCUGACUUACAGGAGGGAAAGGGGGUCGGGGAGGGUUCAAGGGAAAAGUAGUGCCCCCCAAAGCUGAACUAUUUGAGAAAGGGAAGCAAAGAAAAAUCACUUUCCUGAGGAUAAAAGGCCGGGAAACCGGCUGGUCGGAGUCACAAAGGUAGCUAUGUUCACUUCCCGGUGGGACGCAGCUGACACGGGGAGGCCUGAGUGGCAACCAAGCAGCCAGCGUGGUUCUCUUCCAGACAAGGGGCUCUAAAUGCUUCUCUCGCUCAAGGCAGGAAACAAGUGGGACUUCACAUCUAUGCAACUUCAAAGUAAAGAGUAGGAAUUAUGGACAAAUCACCAAUUUCCUCAAUAUUACCUGCUUGAACAGUGAACAUAUGCGACAGUAACUUCCUGGACAAACUGAUGAAUUUGUACCAUUUGUUCGUCCUCCCUUAAAAGUGAUGUUUUGGGAUUAAUCUUCCAGGGCUUUGGUCCUCUGCGAUGAAAGGUGCUGUGGAAAUGCGAAGACCUAUUAAAACCGUGUCAGUUCUUCACCGUGGUCUGAAGGCUCUCCUGGCCCCUCUAUCAUUCACAGGAGUUGCUCCCAGUCAACAUCUUGCACAUGUAAUCCUGUCUCUGUGUCUGCUUCUGGGUUGACCUGAAUGAUACGGUUGAUAUCAAAAGUGUUGUGAUAAAUCACGUGGUAAGAUAGGUUUGGGGCUUGGCUCACUCACUGCCCCGCAGGCAAGAGGCCCUCAGCUGUAGGGCCCAGAGAGUCCCUGGCACAAGAUGGCAGUGCAGUUGCUGAACAUUUUACCACUGGUGACUUGCAGAAACAUUUCAGUGGAGAUCACCCGUGCAGGUGUGAUAUCUCCUACUUGAGAGAAAUGGGAUGGGUGUGCAAAGACAGCAAUGGGACAGGCGUGCAAAGACAGCAAUGGGAUGGGUGUGCAAAGACAGCAGGGUUGGGAGCGGUUACUAAGCUAUCUGCUGAUGCAUGGCAGUAGGAGAAAGAGAAACGGAGGGCCAUUAACCCACAGGUGCUAAGAGUGAGAGCCAGAGAACCUCCUUGUUGUCUUACACAGAGGCCCUGAUCUCCUGCCAUGGAGUAGCAGACAGCUGAAGAGCACAACCAGAACUUGAUGCAGUUCUAGAAGCUCCAGAGAUAUUUGGAUCAGCCAAGGCCUGUCUCUUCCAGGCCCUGAUUGGGAAAACCUAGGGUCUUAAAUAUGGGAUGGAAUCAUCUAGAUAGACAUCGUCAGAGGCUUUUGUCUCUGUAGACCUCCCUGAAUAUUUAAAAUUUACGGAGAUAGUCCACUCCUCUAUAGUAAGAGUUGGCCGUUCCUCAGUAUGGGAGAUAAAGUUUCAGGGACCUGGACUUCUGUGAAGUUUGCAGAUAUCCAGUGGCCAGGAACACAGUGCAGUAUGUCCUUCUAUGCCAAAGUCAAGUUGCUGCAUCUCACAUCGCCAUGGCAAGAAAGGAAUCAUUGAACCCGGUAGGUCUCCUCCAGUUCUAGAGACAAUACCUUCCAUAGCUAGGAAUGCUUCUUCAGUCCAUAGAUUCGGUUACGUAGAAGGCUGUCAGCUUGGAGUGGGCACCUGUGCUGGGAAGGGCUCUGCAACAGGUUUAGGCUGCAGCAGGGCCCAGGUCCUUGGGCUGGUUGAGCCAUCAGACUCUGUGGUGUUGGAAGUGUCAGUGUUGGGAGAAGGUAUGGUUUGGAGUUUCUAGCAACCUCUAGGAGGAGAAACGCAAAACAGGCCUUUGGGCAAGCAAUGUCAUGCCGUGGUCAGCACGCUCAUGCCAUCUGCAGUGGAAAAUGACAUGCUUUUUAAAAAACAGCUCCUGUAGUGGUAUUAGGUCCUACUGGGGGUGGAAAUCUUGACCAUGGGGCGCCAACUGAGUUGCCCACGAUGAGCUAAUUUCUGUUGGACUGCCCAAGCCGGAAUUAUGGAUGGGCCCGGCCACAGUCUAUCAUUAGAACUGUAUAUCCAGAAAUGUCACAAGUAAUAACAGAGUACAAGUAAGCUGCACGGGCAGGUAGCCCAGACCCCCAUGUCGCUCGACAGUCACACCACUGAUACUCCCUUAGCUUGCACCUUUGCCUGUGGUGGGGUGGGGGCAGGUACUCUACAGUCAACGGAAGAAGAGUGGAAGCACCUGACUUCGUUUAUAGAUGAGUCGGCUCACUGUGUGAAAAUGGAAACUGACUGUAUUACGAGGACGUUUAGCAGAGCUACAACUUAUGGAUAAAUAUUUGAUUGUAAAAGUAGAUACUUUUUUUAACUUAAAUAUAUGUCAAAUUUUAUAAAUGUAUAA